AGAGUUGCUUCCCUUAACUGAUAACGCCAUUUUCCCUGUUGUUUAUAACAUCAUCUUUUGUCUUGGAUCAUCGUCUGUUGCUUCGGGUUACAGGUUUUUUGCGAUCUGUCUUGGCUGUCGUCUACUGGUUGAUAUAUCAUCUCGAUAAGAGUCAGAACUAAGCGGUUCCUUGGCUGAACUAGUGCCACAACACACACUCCCAAAGCUUCUGGUCACAAUUUUUACACUGAACAUUCACUCCUGUUGGACUCUAAGGUAGAUUGUGGUGAAAAUGUUGCCCAAGUUGUCUGUAGAGAAGAAGCUGGUCAACCGACUGUCUUCCUUGAUUCCAGCAUUUACGGACGUCUUUGAUGAAGAGUCUUUUUAUAUUUUCUUCAUCUUCCUUGUGGUCCUUACUAUUGCUAGUGUCUGUGUCCUGUCCCGCUACGUUACCAUAAAAGAUGCUGGCCAUGUUGAAUAGGAGGCUGUUUUCCUACUGACAGAAAAAUGGGUUAGAGGCGACAGAUCAAAGUUUUUGUGAUUUAACCCCCCACCCCCACCCCAUUUCUUAACAUAAAUAUGAACUUUGUUACUGUUACCUCUUUCCUUCAUCCUUUCUUCUCACUCCACCCUCACUCUUCCUCAUUAUCCUCCCCCCGCACAUCACAUUCAAACAAAUCUUUUCUAUCUCUUUUCAUUUUUUUUUUCUCCUUUAAAAUUCCUCACUGCCGAUGGUCUAUAUAUUAUCUUUGCAUCCGAUGAUAGUGUCACAACAAACACACACCACACAAAAAAGAUAUGUGACACCCUAACUUCAAUCAUUCAGCUCAGUCUUACUCUUAAUUAAUGUUCCAAUCGAUUUCUCUCUAAACCAGUGUCGAUUAAGUUGCACCACACCAUCAAGUUUUAAUUAUUCUAAUUCUUUACUAGUCUCACCUGUAUUUAACUGAGCGCUCCAUCUUCAUCUUUCUAGCACCAAUGCCAAAGUACUUGCAUCCAUCUUAGUGAAUCAUAAC